GUGGCUCAAUGGUAGAGUGCUUGCCUUGCAUGCAUGAGACCCUGGGUUCGAUUCCUCAGC
rnacentral:tRNA from 1 species